GACGAAGGGGGCAAGCGUUGUUCGGAAUUACUGGGCGUAAAGGGCGCGUAGGCGGUUCUUUAAGUCAGGCGUGAAAGCCCUGGGCUCAACCUGGGAGUGGCGCUUGAUACUGGAGGACUAGAGAGUGGGAGAGGUUGGUGGAAUUCCCAGUGUAGAGGUGAAAUUCGUAGAUAUUGGGAAGAACACCGGUGGCGAAGGCGGCCAACUGGACCAUUUCUGACGCUGUGACGCGAAAGCGUGGGGAGCAAACAGG
rnacentral:rRNA from 1 species